GUAGGGAAUAUUGGGCAAUGGAUGCAAGUCUGACCCAGCCAUCCCGCGUGCCGGAAGAAGGCCCUCAGGGUUGUAAACGGCUUUUAACGGUGAAGAACCGACAGGAUGCGUCCUGUUUUGACGGUAGCCGUUGAAUAAGCACCGGCUAACUCCGUGCCAGCAGCCGCGGUAAUACGGAGGGUGCGAGCGUUGUCCGGAUUUAUUGGGUUUAAAGGGUGCGUAGGCUGGAAGGUCAGUCAGCGGUGAAAAGCUAUCGCUUAACGAUAGUCUUGCCGCAGAUACUUCCUUUCUUGGAUGAGGAGGAGGCCACUGGAACGGAUGGUGUAGCGGUGAAAUGCAUAGAUAUCAUCCAGAACACCGAUUGCGAAGGCAGGUGGCUGUACCUUAAUCGACGCUGAUGCACGAAAGCAUGGGGAGCAAACAGGAUUAGAAACCCCAGUAGUCC
rnacentral:rRNA from 1 species